GUAUUAAUAACUCAAUUAAAGAGUAUUAUAUUGAAGCUAUAAAGGUGAAAUUUAUUUUCUUAAUACA
rnacentral:tRNA from 1 species